UACGGGUAGGGGCGAGCGUUGUCCGGAAUCAUUGGGCGUAAAGAGCGUGUAGGCGGCUUGGCAAGUCUGACGUGAAAGCCCGCGGCUCAACCGCGGAUUGUCGUUGGAAACUGCCUCGCUAGAGUCCGGAAGAGGAGAGCGGAAUUCCUGGUGUAGCGGUGGAAUGCGCAGAUAUCAGGAAGAACACCCGUGGCGAAGGCGGCUCUCUGGGACGGUACUGACGCUGAGACGCGGAAAGCGUGGGGAGCGAACAGG
rnacentral:rRNA from 1 species